CAGCCGCCGCGGUAAUACCGGCGGCCCGAGUGGCGGUCACUAUUAUUGGGCUUAAAACGUCCGUAGCCGGGUUGGGAAAUCCUCCGGGAAAUCUGGCCGCUUAACGGUCAGAAUGCCGGAGGAUACUCCCAGCCUAGGGAGCGGGAGAGGCCGAGGGGAUUCCCGGGGUAGGGGUGAAAUCCUAUAAUCCCGGGAGGACCACCUGUGGCGAAGGCGCUCGGCUGGAACGCGUCCGACGGUGAGGGACGAAGGCCAGGGGAGCAAACCGGAUUAGAUACCCGGGUAGUCCUGGCUGUAAACGAUGCGGACUUUGUGUCGGACAAGCUAUGAGCUUGUCCGGUGCCGGAGGGAAACCGUUAAGUCCGCCGCCUGGGGAGUACGGCCGCAAGGCUGAAACUUAAAGGAAUUGGCGGG
rnacentral:rRNA from 1 species